rnacentral:rRNA from 1 species
GACGAACGCUGGCGGCGCGCUUAACACAUGCAAGUCGAGCGAGAACCAGGACUUCGGUCCUGGGGACAGCGGCGAACGGGUGAGUAACACGUGGAUAACCUGCCCUCGGCACCGGGAUAGCCCGAGGAAACUCGGAUUAAUACCGGAUAGCCCUUCCGACUCUCGAGUCGGUCCGAAAAGGUAGCUUCGGCCUCUGGCCGGGGAUGGGUCCGCGGCGGAUUAGCUUGUUGGUGGGGUAACGGCCUACCAAGGCANCGAUCCGUAGCUGGUCUGAGAGGACGAUCAGCCACACUGGGACUGAGACACGGCCCAGACUCCUACGGGAGGCAGCAGUGGGGAAUCUUGCGCAAUGGGCGAAAGCCUGACGCAGCGACGCCGCGUGAGGGAAGAAGGCCU